CAUUCCACCUCCCAGCCCUCCUGAUCCAAUGCCCAUGGCGAUAGGGGGGGCUGCAGCCAGGAAGACUGGAGGGGGACCCUUCUCCUGCACCCACUGUGGUCGCAGAGGGCACACUGCCGGAGGAGCUCGCCCGGGAGUCCAGAGGGCAGGCAGAGCACUCCUUCGACAUCUCAGAAUAAAUGUUUCAUGUCGAAUGAGAGAUCCAUUUCUGUCAGUCUCCUAUUUGCCUGAGGGGGCCUGCAAGGCAUAAGUAGAAAGAACUUUCAUUCCAUGUUUAUCAUCUCAAGUAUUCGGGCCAACAACCUACAUUGAUGACAGGGCUGUUGCCAUUGAUGACAGGAACUGUGAUGGUUACGAGCCACAAACAUGGGAUUCCUGAGAAAACCAGCAAACCAGGCUGUCGUCUUGGGAAACAGUGGAUGUAAAGAAUCUAGCUAAAGCAUAUACUGCAAAUUGAAUGUACAGUUACGUAAGCUUGCCUUGCCGUGCAAUGCUGCUGAAGUAACAUAGCUAGCUAACUAUUUACUUGCUUAUUGUGUAGUGGAGGAUAAAAAUAACUGUAUGCCUAUGUAUGUGUAGCUAGCUACAGUAUGUUGCCGAUCUGUGUAUGGACCCUAAAAUGUUCUGAACUAAUAUUCAUACCAAUCUAUGAACCUCAGCUAUCAUAGUUGUCGUAUCAACUUCAAGUCUGAAUGGCAUUAAUGGAUUGAGUAGAAUAUAAUAACUUUAUUG
rnacentral:lncRNA from 1 species